AUUGAACGCUGGCGGCAUGCCUUACACAUGCAAGUCGAACGGCAGCACGGGAGCUUGCUCCUGGUGGCGAGUGGCGAACGGGUGAGUAAUAUAUCGGAACGUGCCCUAGAGUGGGGGAUAACUAGUCGAAAGAUUAGCUAAUACCGCAUACGAUCUAAGGAUGAAAGUGGGGGAUCGCAAGACCUCAUGCUCGUGGAGCGGCCGAUAUCUGAUUAGCUAGUUGGUGAGGUAAAGGCUCACCAAGGCGACGAUCAGUAGCUGGUCUGAGAGGACGACCAGCCACACUGGAACUGAGACACGGUCCAGACUCCUACGGGAGGCAGCAGUGGGGAAUUUUGGACAAUGGGCGCAAGCCUGAUCCAGCAAUGCCGCGUGAGUGAAGAAG
rnacentral:rRNA from 1 species